CAAGUACUCGAUCUCCUCGUCAUCAUUUAUGCAUCUCAACUUCUUGAAUCACUUCUUGUACUACUUCCUGCACUAUUUCGACGACUAGUACAGAACAACGAGAUAAUUGCAUAUUCAAUCUCUCCCUUUUUGACUAUGUAUUUGAACUCAACAACUCUAGUUUCGAUGACUUCAUCACCAAUAACACAUCAACCUAGCAACACCAAUCUCCCCUUAAUUGAGUCACAUCAUGUCAAAAACUAAUUCAAGGAUCGCCUCCAUCGAAACCAAGGAUGAAACCCCAUUGCACCAUCUCUGUAAUGAUUAACUCUCCUAGACCAAGUAUUCAUGAGUUGUAUGAAUCCAUAACGCACGAUUCUUAGCUCCGUUUUACUUCCUUAAUGAUCUCAUGAAUGAUCUCCUGAACGAUCUUAUGAACCUCACCCUGAUCUACCCGAAACAAGACUAAAUCUCUAUCGAGAACCCGCUUUGCUACCACUUGAAAGUGCAUAAAGUAAAGAGACACAAAAUUUGUUAACGAGAUUUGAUUUUUUCUACUCUCCGAGACCACGU